CGGCGGACGGGUGAGUAACGCGUGGGUAACCGUGCCUCAUACAGGGGGAUAACAGUUGGAGACGGCUGCUAAUACCGCAUAAGCGGCACAGUACCGCAUGGUACCGUGUGAAAAACUCCGGUGGUAUGAGAUGGACCCGCGUCUGAUUAGCUAGUUGGUGGGGUAACGGCCUACCAAGGCGACGAUCAGUAGCCGACCUGAGAGGGUGACCGGCCACAUUGGGACUGAGACACGGCCCAA
rnacentral:rRNA from 1 species